rnacentral:rRNA from 1 species
GUGGAGGGUUCGAUUCUGGCUCAGGAUGAACGCUGGCGGCGUGCUUAACACAUGCAAGUCGAACGGGAUCCCUGGCGCUUGCGCCGGGGUGAGAGUGGCGAACGGGUGAGUAAUGCGUGACCAACCUGCCCCAUGCACCGGAAUAGCUCCUGGAAACGGGUGGUAAUGCCGGAUGCUCCAGAUGACCGCAUGGGAUUCUGGGAAAGCUUUUGCGGCAUGGGAUGGGGUCGCGUCCUAUCAGCUUGUUGGUGGGGUGAUGGCCCACCAAGGCUUCGACGGGUAGCCGGCCUGAGAGGGCGACCGGCCACAUUGGGACUGAGAUACGGCCCAGACUCCUACGGGAGGCAGCAGUGGGGAAUAUUGCGCAAUGGGCGAAAGCCUGACGCAGCGACGCCGCGUGCGGGAUGGAGGCCUCGG